rnacentral:misc_RNA from 1 species
GAAAUGCAUUGGACUAUUCAGCCUUUAUUAGUCUGGGUAAAGUGUGAUAAGGUUUAUUAUGAAUCUCUUUCUCGCUGAGCUUUUAGCUAAAGGCUGGGUUAGCCCUUAAACCCCCCAACUCCUCAGGAACUUUUUGGUUCUUGUGAACUUGAGCUCAAAUCAGGUAGGAUUACCCGCUGAACUUAA